AGUUUUGGAUAGUAUUUAAUUUAUAGUAUUAACUAGAAACUUUUCCAAUCAUCUCUAUAAAUAGCCUCUUGUAUGUAGUGCUUGUUGAUUGAUAACUUAAAAAAGAGAAUGGUUUAUAGCAUCAACUGCGUCUGUUUUUUUAUUGGAUUGCUAUGCAUGGCAUUCAUUUUGAAUCCAGUUGUAGGAGGAGUUAUGUAUCCCUUUGAGGUUUGCGGUAACGACGGGCCAUGUCCAAGUACUAGUGAUUACGACUGUAGUUAUUAUUGUUCGGAAAUUUGGAAGCUUCCUUAUGGUGGCACGUGCAUUGAAAAUGAAUGUUGUUGUUAUAAAGGAUAUAAUGUUUAAUUAAUGUUAUAUAUUUUUGAAAA